GAGAAGCUUACUUCUCUGAUGUUAGCGGCGGACGGGUGAGUAACACGUGGAUAACCUACCUAUAAGACUGGGAUAACUUCGGGAAACCGGAGCUAAUACCGGAUAAUAUUUUGAACCGCAUGGUUCAAAAGUGAAAGACGGCCUUGCUGUCACUUAUAGAUGGAUCCGCGCUGCAUUAGCUAGUUGGUAAGGUAACGGCUUACCAAGGCAACGAUGCAUAGCCGACCUGAGAGGGUGAUCGGCCACACUGGAACUGAGACACGGUCCAGACUCCUACGGGAGGCAGCAGUAGGGAAUCUUCCGCAAUGGGCGAAAGCCUGACGGAGCAACGCCGCGUGAGUGAUGAAGGUCUUCGGAUCGUAAAACUCUGUUAUUAGGGAAGAACAUAUGUGUAAGUAACUGUGCACAUCUUGACGGUACCUAAUCAGAAAGCCACGGCUAACUACGUGCCAGCAGCCGCGGUAAUACGUAGGUGGCAAGCGUUAUCCGGAAUUAUUGGGCGUAAAGCGCGCGUAGGCGGUUUUUUAAGUCUGAUGUGAAAGCCCACGGCUCAACCGUGGAGGGUCAUUGGAAACUGGAAAACUUGAGUGCAGAAGAGGAAAGUGGAAUUCCAUGUGUAGCGGUGAAAUGCGCAGAGAUAUGGAGGAACACCAGUGGCGAAGGCGACUUUCUGGUCUGUAACUGACGCUGAUGUGCGAAAGCGUGGGGAUCAAACAGGAUUAGAUACCUGGUAGUCCACGCCGUAAACGAUGAGUGCUAAGUGUUAGGGGGUUUCCGCCCCUUAGUGCUGCA
rnacentral:rRNA from 1 species